rnacentral:lncRNA from 1 species
CCAGGAGCUCUGAGAACCCCUGUUCCAGUCAGGACCUCGUACCCUACCUCUGAAGUGGAUUCUUCCAGCUGUCCUGUUAUGGUUUCAAUCAAGAAUGUUUCCCAUAGGCUAGUGAUUUGUUUGUUUGCUUUUUUUUUUUUUUGUUUGUUUUUUGGUUUUUCGAGACAGGGUUUCUCUGUGUAGCUUUGGAGCCUAUCCUGGCACUUGCUCUGGAGAGCAGGCUGGCCUCAAACUCACAGAGAUCCACCUGCCUCUGACUCCCAAGUGCUGGGAUUAAAGGCCUGCGCCACCAACGCCCGGGGAAAGUGUACUUUCUACAAGCAAGGGCCCUCCUCCCCCAGACCCACACCAAGAUCCUCCAAAGACAGCCAGCCCUGGAGAAUAUCCUGUGCAGACUGAAGAGUGGGUAGUGUGGCAGCUACCCGUCUUGUUGUUUCCUGGAGCUGCUAGGAGUUGAAAGGGAUGUGGAACUGAAGGGACUUCCUGCUUCUGUUAAGUGGAUCAUGGGGCACCAUUUUUGCCUAGGCAGUGGCCAUGAAAGGGAAGGAAAGCCACAAUAUGAGGAAGUGUGCAGGGCAUCUGAAGGCUCACCUCGGAAUCCUUCUACAGGAAAGAGGGAAUGGUGUCACUGCUGACAACAGUCUCCCCCAACCAAGUGGCAGAAGAUACUCAUACAGGAGCUGGUGUGGAAACUUUUUACAGUUGAAAAUGAGUCCAUAUAUGACUCCAACUCUAGAAGGCAUGGGAAAUGAGCCAGUUUCAUCUGUAUCUCCCUUCAGAAUGGGGAUUUCACAUGUGCCAACUCAUGGCCUGGCUCCACAGGACAGGUGGGGCCUGUGUGUUUAGAGUUGAGGGGUAUGAGAAUAUCAAGCCCACACAGUCACGGAAUGGCAUCUUGGAGUAAUCAUGUUUUGAUGGCAAGCAACACGAAGCAUGAAGUCAUUCCAACAUCAAGGGAACUCAUGGGAAGCACUCUCUGGACAUGUAGAAUUUUAGAAGCAGGCCUUUCUUGGGCCUUGAGAGUUUGGAAAAGGCUGAUCCAAGUACUACCACCCAGAUGGCUAAAUCACCAAUAGCCCUCUGUCUUUUCAACACUAUUUUUCUCAGACAAGGAGGGUUUGUGACACAGACUCCAGACAUGAGCCUGCAUUCUGAAGAGCUCACUGAUUAGCUGUGUCAAUGAUAUCCCUUAACUAGAGAGACACAUAGUGCUAUGAAUAGCAGCCUCACAGGGAAGCAAUAAUCUUGCCUCCUUCCCCCACAAUUGGAAUGCUAUCCCUAAAGAAGGUGCAAUGCAUGCUGGGAAACACGAGAACAGUGAACUUGCUCCAUCUAGUCCAGACUCUUCCUGAUUGCUUUGGAUGUGAUCUGUCCCCUAAAGGUUUUUGUAGUGAGCACUUGGUCUCCUGUGUGGUGCUGUCAAGAGGCAGUGGGACAUAUAAGAGGUGAGGCCUAGUAGGAAGAGGUUAAUGGAGACACCGCCCUCAGGAGGAUUUCAUGUAGUUCUCUUGAGGCCCCAUUGGGUCUUAGAAGACAGUUGCCACAAAAAGAGCUGGCCAUUUACUUCCUGUCUCACCAUAUGAUCUCGCCCUCUGACAAGUGCUCUCACCAUUGUGAUGUCAUCUGCCAUGAGGACUUCACCAGAACCCAGCAGAAGCCUGUGGGUGUCCCUGAUCCUCUAGGGCUGUGAGCUAAAUGAGUCCCUUUUCUAAAGCACCUAGCCUCGGGCAUUUCAUUAUAGUGAUGGAAAGUAAACUAACACAAGGGCAAUGGCAGUAUUACCCUACUCUACAGGACAGAUGCUGCUGAGGCAAACAUCUGUGGGAAUAGGCAGAGAGGGCUUCUCCUCUGAGCCAAGGGUGGGACCAGCUGGAAAAAAGACCUUCAAGCCCAGAGGAGGCUGCAGUAUUACAUUAUUUAUUACCUUCUGGGCUGCAUUUUAGAGGAUAUUUUUGCCUGGGCCACAGGUUUGAUAACAGAUGCAAUAAAAUGGGGCAAAUGUGAUUUAGUAGAACAAUAUGGCAAGAUGAUGUCAUCUGUGUAGUAAACAAGGGGAGCUAUUGGGUCAUAAAUAGUCUUUUUACAGCGACUGUGAGUGGGUCCGAGAGCAGAUGCGUAGUAAACACGAUUGCUUUAUAGAAAUUCCUUUCCUUUGGAAACGAUGAGAAAACCACGUGUGACCUGUUCUUGUGAGCUUUAUUUUGUGCUUUUUGAUGGGCUCAUUUAACUCUUCUUUGGUCACCUAAUAGAUGGUCCUUGCUAAGCAUUGCCUGCUUUUGUGCACCCAAACUAUCAGGCAUUGGAAAUGGCUCAGCACAUAUUCUCUCUCUCUCUCUCUCUCUCUCUCUCUCUCUCUGUCUGUCUCUCUUUCUGUCUCUCUGUCUCUCUGUCUCUCUGUCUCUCUGUCUCUCUCUCUCUCUCUCUCUCUCUCUCUCACACACACAUACACACAAAC